rnacentral:rRNA from 1 species
UACAGAGGGUGCGAGCGUUAAUCGGAAUUACUGGGCGUAAAGGGCGCGUAGGCGGCAAUUCAAGUCAUCUGUGAAAUCUCCGGGCUUAACUCGGAACGGUCAGGUGAUACUGCUUUGCUAGAGUGCGGAAGGGGCAAUCGGAAUUCUUGGUGUAGCGGUGAAAUGCGUAGAUAUCAAGAGGAACACCUGAGGUGAAGACGGGUUGCUGGGCCGACACUGACGCUGACAGCGCGAAAGCCAGGGGAGCAAACGGG